rnacentral:rRNA from 1 species
UACGUAGGGUGCGAGCGUUAAUCGGAAUUACUGGGCGUAAAGUGUGCGCAGGCGGCCGAGCAAGUCGAGUGUGAAAGCCCCGAGCUUAACUUGGGAACUGCGCUCGAAACUACUUGGCUAGAGUGUGGCAGAGGGAGGUGGAAUUCCACGUGUAGCGGUGAAAUGCGCAGAUAUCAGGAGGAACACCAAUUGCGAAGGCAGCUCGCUGGGACGUCACUGACGCUGAGACGCGAAAGCGUGGGGAGCAAACAGG